GAUGAACGCUGGCGGCGUGCCUAAUACAUGCAAGUCGAGCGAACAGACGAGGAGCUUGCUCCUCUGACGUUUGCGGCGGACGGGUGAGUAACACGUGUAUAACCUACCUAUAAUACUGGUAUCACUUCGGGAAACCGGAGCUAAUACCGUAUAAUAUAUUGAACCGCAUGGUUCAAUAGUGAAAUACGGUUUUGCGGUCACUUAUAGAUGGAUCCGCGCCACAUUAGCUAGUUGGUAAGGUAACGGCUUUCCAAGGCAACGAGGCGUAGCCGACCUGAGAGAGUGAUAGGCCACCCUGGAACUGAGACACGGUCCAGGCGCCUAAGAGACGCAGCAGUAGGCAAUCUUCCGCAAAGGGCGAAAGCCUGACGGAGCAACCCCGAGUGAGUGAUGAAGGUCUUCGGAUCGUAAUAAUCUGUUAUUAGGGAAGAACAACUGUGUAAGUAAAUAUGCCCGUCUUGACGGUACCUAAUAAGAAAGCCACGGCUAACUACGUG
rnacentral:rRNA from 1 species